GUCGGUGUAGGCUACACUAUGUUCUUAAAAUGCACCUAACUUUAAACAUGCACUGUGAUUUCUUUCAAGGAAAAAGUAAGCUGGAUAUUUAAUAAGACAGUAGUGAGGAUCCUUUCUGCGACACUGACAGAGUCUUUCUUUUAAAAUUGAUCCAAAAGAAAACUUGGGACUGAUUGCCCGUGUUUGUCCGUCUGAGCUCUAAAAGCAGGUAAGCCACUGACUAACGCACAUUGUGCCAGUUGUCAGUUCCACUGUGCGUGUGACAGCGGCUAACCUGGUUUUGGGAAUACCUCUCGUUUUAUAUAUUGGGCUCGUGCAAGACCUGCCACAGCCGGACCAGACAGACACCAUACCUCAAGCUCUCCCUGAGCAUGUCUCGUGCACAUUUCUGGAACAGGCCUGCUCACCAUGAGUGUUCAGCCAGUGGUCCCCAUGUGUAGACCACUUCCUCACAUGUUCACAUACUGUCCUCUUAUUUAGGUCAAGUAGCUAUUGCGCUGCCUCCUAUAGAGGGGAUUCCUCUAAUGCCGUCUACUGUGAAGACUAUUGGUGAGUGUUUUAUUUCUGUAUCUGUCUCAUCUGACAUGAUAAUCAUAAUUUUCCUGGCUGGAUACAAAUUUGAGGUCAGAGGCCCUCCAGGGGUUCUCAUGGCCCCUUCAGCAAAAAAAAAGGAGCAUUGCUAAGAGAAAUACAACAUGAUUUUAGAACAAAUUUACUACCAUAUUUUUGGUCAGCUGUUUUGGAGUUAUUUUGUAAAUAAUGAAGCAGAAAAUUUUUAAAAAUAAAUUAAAAAUAAUUAUUACCAAGUAAAAUAAAUCAACUGUGUCCACAUACGUUGUACUAUGUUUGUUUGUAAAAAAGUAUUCCCUAGUCCAGAAAGUAAAAUGCUACUCAAAACAA